AGGGUAUUUUUUAGUCUUUAUAAGGCUGGGAAGGUCUUGCUUUUGUUGUAGUUUAAAACAAUUUAACAUCUGCUUUUCUUACCAACUUCCUCAAAGCCUGGUAGAAGGAAAUGGCAAAUGGUUACUGGGGCCCAGCUGGAGACUCAGUAUGAGGUUGUGCCGAGGGCCUUGCCUGCACAAAGUUAGCUGUGUGGGAGAGACUUUCAGCUGAGACUUGUGACAAAACCCAGGGAGGACCUUACAUCACGAUGUACUCAUCUGUGGGCGCUCCGAGGCCGCCCGCACACUAGGAAACACAGUUUUCUACGCUUUUCUUUGAUGAGAAAAGACCUGGUCACAGGAUGCAUGGCUCACAGAUCCUCCCAGCUGCCGGCGUGGCGGGCAGAUACACCCAGCACAGAGUACAUUUCAUUUGUGAGUCAACUCCAGGUCUCAGAGGCCCCUUGCUCUUGCUGGUGGCCUCCACCAAGCAGCCUCAUCCCAGAAGGGCCCUGUUCUCCGCUCUCCAUAGGGACCGGGAGAACCUUCCAGCCGUCCAGGUAAAGCUGCUCCUUUGCUCUGCCUCAGUCUUCUCCAGUCCCUGGGAAAGUCGGAAGGCGGCAGAGAAAGAAGAGAUGGCUGGCGGCGCGUGCUGCCUGUACCUGGCCUGCUCCUCGGUGGCCCAGUCACACCUGGCUCAUUCGUGACGUCACGCUCCGCUGUGCUCCUCACUUCCUGUGGCCCCUCCCUCCUCAGAUGACUUCAGCACAAGUGCUUCACACAAGGACAGCACAAACAGAACUCUGGAACCCUCGUGCUUGAUCUGUUUAUCUAAGUGAGCACUGACCAAAUACCGGGCAGAUAAACAGUUCUUUCUCCCACCAAUAGGACCAAUGCUCCUGUAAUCACGUUUCCCAAUCUGCAAAUGAAAUCCUUUCAGAAAACAGAGACCUCUUCCAAAGAUCACCAAGGCUACUGGACGUGCUGUUUACCAGGAACCGGGAAUGCCUGCUGACCUGCAGACAACACCAAAGCCGCACCAAGGGAUGGAUGACUGUUGGAGUUAAUGACCAAGAGCCAGGCAUGGCGGAACACACCUAUGAUCCCACGUAUUCAGGAGGCAGGGCCUCUAUGCAUCUGAGGCCAGCCUGUUCUACAUGUGUUGUCCAAGAAACUCGAGCACGUGAUUGCAUUUCUUCCUGUAGUGAAGAUGUCUGGAAGAAAGCAGGUUCUGGAAGGGCUAGCCUACCCAGUCUCCGUGUUCUGGAAGGGCUAGCCUACCCAGCCUCCGUGUUCUGGAAGGGCUAGCCUACACAGCCUCUGUGUUCUGGAAGGGCUAGCCUACACAGCCUCCGUGUUUGGAGCCUCGCAGAGUGUCAUGGGAGGCUCCCUAGAGCCUCUGUGGAGGCUACUUGGAAGUUUAAAUAACCCUUUGACUCACAAGUCAUUCUGAGACUCUUUUCUAUUGAAAGGCCAUGGAUUUCCACAAAGUUUAUUUGUAGAACUUGAUGCAAAUUGGCAGAAUUUGUUGUACAGAUUUUGAAAACUCAAGCAUUCCGCCGCCCCC